CGCGGUGCAUUAGCUAGUUGGUGAGGUAACGGCUCACCAAGGCCACGAUGCAUAGCCGACCUGAGAGGGUGAUCGGCCACAUUGGGACUGAGACACGGCCCAAACUCCUACGGGAGGCAGCAGUAGGGAAUCUUCGGCAAUGGACGAAAGUCUGACCGAGCAACGCCGCGUGAGUGAAGAAGGUUUUCGGAUCGUAAAACUCUGUUGUUAGAGAAGAACAAGGAUGAGAGUAACUGUUCAUCCCUUGACGGUAUCUAACCAGAAAGCCACGGCUAACUACGUGCCAGCAGCCGCGGUAAUACGUAGGUGGCAAGCGUUGUCCGGAUUUAUUGGGCGUAAAGCGAGCGCAGGCGGUUUCUUAAGUCUGAUGUGAAAGCCCCCGGCUCAACCGGGGAGGGUCAUUGGAAACUGGGAGACUUGAGUGCAGAAGAGGAGAGUGGAAUUCCAUGUGUAGCGGUGAAAUGCGUAGAUAUAUGGAGGAACACCAGUGGCGAAGGCGGCUCUCUGGUCUGUAACUGACGCUGAGGCUCGAAAGCGUGGGGAGCAAACAGGAUUAGAUACCCUGGUAGUCCACGCCGUAAACGAUGAGUGCUAAGUGUUGGAGGGUUUCCGCCCUUCAGUGCUGCAGCUAACGCAUUAAGCACUCCGCCUGGGGAGUACGACCGCAAGGUUGAAACUCAAAGGAAUUGACGGGGGCCCGCACAAGCGGUGGAGCAUGUGGUUUAAUUCGAAGCAACGCGAAGAACCUUACCAGGUCUUGACAUCCUUUGACCACUCUAGAGAUAGAGCUUCCCCUUCGGGGGCAAAGUGACAGGUGGUGCAUGGUUGUCGUCAGCUCGUGUCGUGAGAUGUUGGGUUAAGUCCCGCAACGAGCGCAACCCUUAUUGUUAGUUGCCAUCAUUCAGUUGGGCACUCUAGCAAGACUGCCGGUGACAAACCGGAGGAAGGUGGGGAUGACGUCAAAUCAUCAUGCCCCUUAUGACCUGGGCUACACACGUGCUACAAUGGGAAGUACAACGAGUCGCGAAGUCGCGAGGCUAAGCUAAUCUCUUAAAGCUUCUCUCAGUUCGGAUUGCAGGCUGCAACUCGCCUGCAUGAAGCCGGAAUCUCUAGUAAUCGCGGAUCAGCACGCCGCGGUGAAUACGUUCCCGGGCCUUGUACACACCGCC
rnacentral:rRNA from 1 species